rnacentral:rRNA from 1 species
GACGAACGCUGGCGGCGUGCUUAACACAUGCAAGUCGAACGAAGUGGCGAACGGGUGAGUAAUACGUGAGUAACCUGCCCUCCUUUUUGGGAUAAGCCUUGGAAACGGGGUCUAAUACCGGAUAAAGGGGGAUGGGCUCGCGGCCUAACAGAUUGAUGGUGGGGUGAUGGCCUACCAAGGCGACGCCGGGUAGACGGCCUGAGAGGGCGACCGGCCACAGUGGGACUGGGAUACGGCCCAAACUCCUACGGGAGGCAGCAGUGGGGAACAUUGCACAAUGGGGGACACACUGAUGCAGCAACGCCGCGUGCGGGAUGACGGCCUUCGGGUUGUAAACCGCUUUCAGCUAUGACGCGGUAGUGGCAGAAGAAGCACCGGCUAACUACGUGCCAGCAGCCGCGGUAAUAC